UGACUAUGCUGGUGUGGGUGCUAG
rnacentral:piRNA from 1 species